GGAAACCCUCAGACUGUGGGGCCAGCCAAGGAGUUUCCAUUGGGGCAGGGGCUUGCACUUCCUCCCAGAGAGAGAGAAUUCAUGGAAGAAGGAGAGACCUCGCCUGACCGCCCCUACACCUGCCCUUGCGCCCUUCUCUGGACAGUUCACGAUUCUGCAGGCCCAAACUGAGAUUCUCUCACUGAGUCUGGAGCUGGGCUCUGGAAGGAACAGCCUCCAACUUUCCCUUGGGCAUUACAGUGGAGGGGGGAGUCCAUGGGAACUGGAAGAAGACAGGGAGGUUGUCCCUGCCUGGAGUCAGCACGAGCAGGACCAGGGCCAGGUCCCGCCAGUGGAGUCCUUGCAGAGAGAGCAGAGGCAAGGACGGAGACCCUCCUGCUGCAGGCCGAGCGCCGUGCCCUGUGUGCCUGCUGGCCUGCUGGGCGCUGAAGACACGUGCCAGCGCCCUGCCUGUCAAUAAACGCCUGCUAACACA